rnacentral:misc_RNA from 1 species
AGCAGCCGCGGUAAUUCCAGCUCCAAUAGCGUAUAUUAAAGUUGUUGCAGUUAAAAAGCUCGUAGUUGAAUUUCGGGAUCAAUAUGUUGGUCGUGCCUCGGUACGUACUAGCUUAUUGGUUUCUCCUUUCUGAAGAACCAUGAUGUCAUUUAUUUGGUGUCGUGGGGAAUCAGGACUGUUACUUUGAAAAAAUUAGAGUGUUUAAAGCAGGCUCACGCUUGAAUACAUUAGCAUGGAAUAAUGAAAUAGGACGUUUGAUUCUAUUUUGUUGGUUUCUAGGAUCGACGUAAUGAUUAAUAGGGAUAGUUGGGGGCAUUAGUAUUCAAUUGUCAGAGGUGAAAUUCUUGGAUUUAUUGAAGACUAACUACUGCGAAAGCAUUUGCCAAGGAUGUUUUCAUUAAUCAAGAACGAAAGUUAGGGGAUCGAAGACGAUCAGAUACCGUCGUAGUCUUAACCAUAAACUAUGCCGACUAGGGAUCGGAUGAUGUUAAUUUUAAUGUACUCAUUCGGCGC